AGAUUAAGCCAUGCAUGUCUAAGUAUAAAUAGUAUACAGUGAAACUGCGAAUGGCUCAUUAAAACAGUUAUAGUUUAUUUGAUAAUUGACAAUUACAUGGAUAACCGUGGUAAUUCUAGAGCUAAUACAUGCUUAAACGCCCGACUUUAUGGAAGGGUGGUAUUUAUUAGACUGAAGCCAAUAUUCCUUGUGUCUAUUGCGGUGAUUCAUAAUAACUGAUCGAAUCUCUUUUUGAGUUAAAUCAUUCAAGUUUCUGCCCUAUCAGCUUUCGAUGGUAGUGUAUUGGACUACCAUGGCAGUAACGGGUAACGAAGAAUUAGGGUUCGAUUUCGGAGAGGGAGCAUGAGAAACGGCUACCACAUCUAAGGAAGGCAGCAGGCGCGUAAAUUACCCAAUCCUGACUCAGGGAGGUAGUGACAAGAAAUAGCAAACCGGGAACCUCAUGGUUUCACGGUAUUGCAAUGAGAACAAUUUAAAACCCUUAGCGAGAAUCAAGUGGAGGACAAGUCUGGUGCCAGCACCCGCGGUAAUUCCAGCUCCACUAGCGUAUAUUAAAGUUGUUGCAGUUAAAAAGCUCGUAGUUGAACCUCUGUCUGGGGCUAGUUUUGGCUUUGGUCAGGCUAGUUCUAGGCAUCCGCCUACAAGACUUAGAGGGCAUUCAGUUGUUCACUAGGAGGAGUAGGCAUUUUACUUUGAAAAAAUUAGAGUGUUUAAGGCAGGCAAUCGCCCGCAUAUAUUAGCAUGGAAUAAUAGAAUAGGACACUUUUCCAUUUCGUUGGUUAUUGGAAUCGUGUAAUGAUUAAUAGGGACAGUUGUGGGCAUUUGUAUUUAAUUGUCAGAGGUGAAAUUCUUGGAUUUAUUAAAGACAAACUAACGCGAAAGCAUUUGCCAAGGAUGUUUUCAUUAAUCAAGAACGAAAGUUAGGGGAUCAAAGACGAUCAGAUACCGUCCUAGUCUUAACUAUAAACUAUUCCGACUCAAUGUUUGACUGGCUUAUAUAACCAGUUGAGCGUUGUAUGAGAAAUCAAAGUCUUUAGGUUCUGGGGGGAGUAUGGUUGCAAAGCUGAAACUUAAAGGAAUUGACGGAAGAGCACAACCAGGAGUGGAUUCUGCGGCUUAAUUUGACUCAACACGGGGAAACUUACCAGGUUAAAACAAUAGUGGGAUUGACAGUUUGAGAGCGCUUUCUUGAUUGGUUGGGUGGUGGUGCAUGGCCGUUCUUAGUUGGUGGAGUGAUUUGUCUGCUUAAUUGCGUUAACGAACGAGACCUUAACCUGCUUACUAGACUGGCGAUCAUCAAUCGUUAGCUCUUCUUAGAGGGACUUUGGUUGUUUUAACUCCAAGGAAGUUUGAGGCAAUAACAGGUCUGUGAUGCCCUUAGAC
rnacentral:rRNA from 1 species